UACGUAGGGGGCAAGCGUUGUCCGGAAUCAUUGGGCGUAAAGAGCGUGUAGGCGGCUCGAUAAGUCUGCUGUGAAAGUCCAGGGCUCAACCCUGGAAGGCCGGUGGAAACUGUCGGGCUAGAGUCCGGAAGAGGCGAGUGGAAUUCCCGGUGUAGCGGUGAAAUGCGUAGAGAUCGGGAGGAACACCAGAGGCGAAGGCGGCGACCUGGACAAGUACUGACACUCAACUACGAAAGCGUGGGGAGCAAACAGG
rnacentral:rRNA from 1 species